AGUGAACGCUGGCGGUAGGCCUAACACAUGCAAGUCGAACGGCAGCACAGUAAGAGCUUGCUCUUACGGGUGGCGAGUGGCGGACGGGUGAGGAAUACAUCGGAAUCGACUUUUUCGUGGGGGAUAACGUAGGGAAAUUAAUGCUAAUACCGCAUACGACCUACGGGUGAAAGCAGGGGAUCUUCGGACCUUGCGCGAUUGAAUGAGCCGAUGUCGGAUUAGCUAGUUGGCGGGGUAAAGGCCCACCAAGGCGACGAUCCGUAGCUGGUCUGAGAGGAUGAUCAGCCACACUGGAACUGAGACACGGUCCAGACUCCUACGGGAGGCAGCAGUGGGGAAUAUUGGACAAUGGGCGCAAGCCUGAUCCAGCAAUACCGCGUGGGUGAAGAAGGCCUUCGGGUUGUAAAGCCCUUUUGUUGGGAAAGAAAAGCAGCAGGUUAAUACCGCGCUGUUCUGACGGUACCCAAAGAAUAAGCACCGGCUAACUUCGUG
rnacentral:rRNA from 1 species